ACCAGCGGAGGGAUCAUUACCGAGUUAUACAACUCAUCAACCCUGUGAACAUACCUAAAACGUUGCUUCGGCGGGAACAGACGGCCCUGUAACAACGGGCCGCCCCCGCCAGAGGACCCCUAACUCCGUUUUUAUAAUGUUUUUCUGAGUAAACAAGCAAAUAAAUUAAAACUUUCAACAACGGAUCUCUUGGCUCUGGCAUCGAUGAAGAACGCAGCGAAAUGCGAUAAGUAAUGUGAAUUGCAGAAUUCAGUGAAUCAUCGAAUCUUUGAACGCACAUUGCGCCCGCCAGUAUUCUGGCGGGCAUGCCUGUUCGAGCGUCAUUACAACCCUCAGGCCCCCGGGCCUGGCGUUGGGGAUCGGCGGAAGCCCCCUGUGGGCACACGCCGUCCCUCAAAUACAGUGGCGGUCCCGCCGCAGCUUCCAUUGCGUAGUAGCUAACACCUCGCAACUGGAGAGCGGCGCGGCCAUGCCGUAAAACACCCAACUUCUGAAUGUUGACCUCGAAUCAGGUAGGAAUACCCGCUGAACUUAAGCAUAUCAAUAAGCGGAGGAA
rnacentral:rRNA from 1 species